AGCGAACGCUGGCGGCAGACUUAACACAUGCAAGUCGAGCGGGCGCAGCAAUGCGUCAGCGGCAGACGGGAGAGUAACACGUGGGAACGCGCCCUUCGGUUCGGAAUAACUCAGGGAGACUUGAGCUAAUACCGGAUACGCCCUAACGGGGAAAGAUUUAUCGCCGAAGGAACGGCCCGCGUCCGAUUAGGUAGUUGGUGGGGUAACGGCCUACCAAGCCUACGAUCGGUAGCUGGUCUGAGAGGAUGAUCAGCCACACUGGGACUGAGACACGGCCCAGACUCCUACGGGAGGCAGCAGUGGGGAAUAUUGGACAAUGGGCGCAAGCCUGAUCCAGCAAUGCCGCGUGGAUGAUGAAGGCCUUAGGGUUGUAAAGUCCUUUCGGCGGGGACGAUGAUGACGGUACCCGCAGAAGAAGCCCCGGCUAACUUCGUGCCAGCCGCCGCCGUAA
rnacentral:rRNA from 1 species